AAAAAGAUAAGCUAAAUUGUAAAGCUAUUGGGCCCAUAACCCAACUAUGGUUAAAUUCUCCUCUUUUUU
rnacentral:tRNA from 1 species